GGGCCUGUGGUCGAAUGGUAAGACGCUAUCUUCGCAAGGUAGAGAUUAAGGGUUCAAAUCCCUUCAGGUCCA
rnacentral:tRNA from 1 species